rnacentral:rRNA from 1 species
GGGUUGUGAGGUUAAGCGACUAAGCGUACACGGUGGAUGCCCUGGCAGUCAGAGGCGAUGAAGGACGUGCUAAUCUGCGAAAAGCGUCGGUAAGGUGAUAUGAACCGUUACAGCCGGCGAUGUCCGAAUGGGGAAACCCAGUGCAAUUCGUUGCACUAUCGUUAACUGAAUACAUAGGUUAACGAGGCGAACCGGGGGAACUGAAACAUCUAAGUACCCCGAGGAAAAGAAAUCAACCGAGAUUCCCCAGUAGCGGCGAGCGAACGGGGAGCAGCCCAGAGUCUGAAUCAGCUUGUGUGUUAGUGGAACGGUCUGGAAAGUCCGACGGUACAGGGUGAUAGUCCCGUACACCAAAAUGCACAGGUUGUGAACUCGAAGAGUAGGGCGGGACACGUGGUAUCCUGUCUGAAUAUGGGGGACCAUCCUCCAAGGCUAAAUACUCCUGACUGACCGAUAGUGAACCAGUACCGUGAGGGAAAGGCGAAAAGAACCCCGGCGAGGGGAGUGAAAAAGAACCUGAAACCGUGUACGUACAAGCAGUGGGAGCACCUUCGGGUGUGACUGCGUACCUUUUGUAUAAUGGGUCAGCGACUUAUAUUCUGUAGCAAGGUUAACCGUAUAGGGGAGCCGCAGGGAAACCGAGUCUUAACUGGGCGUUAAGUUGCAGGGUAUAGACCCGAAACCCGGUGAUCUAGCCAUGGGCAGGUUGAAGGUUGGGUAACACUAACUGGAGGACCGAACCGACUAAUGUUGAAAAAUUAGCGGAUGACUUGUGGCUGGGGUGAAAGGCCAAUCAAACCGGGAGAUAGCUGGUUCUCCCCGAAAGCUAUUUAGGUAGCGCCUCGUGAACUCAUCUUCGGGGUAGAGCACUGUUUCGGCUAGGGGGUCAUCCCGACUUACCAACCCGAUGCAAACUACGAAUACCGAAGAAUGUUAUCACGGGAGACACACGGCGGGUGCUAACGUCCGUCGUGAAGAGGGAAACAACCCAGACCGCCAGCUAAGGUCCCAAAGUCAUGGUUAAGUGGGAAACGAUGUGGGAAGGCACAGACAGCCAGGAUGUUGGCUUAGAAGCAGCCAUCAUUUAAAGAAAGCGUAAUAGCUCACUGGUCGAGUCGGCCUGCGCGGAAGAUGUAACGGGGCUAAACCAUGCACCGAAGCUGCGGCAGCGACACUAUGUGUUGUUGGGUAGGGGAGCGUUCUGUAAGCCUGCGAAGGUGUGCUGUGAGGCAUGCUGGAGGUAUCAGAAGUGCGAAUGCUGACAUAAGUAACGAUAAAGCGGGUGAAAAGCCCGCUCGCCGGAAGACCAAGGGUUCCUGUCCAACGUUAAUCGGGGCAGGGUGAGUCGACCCCUAAGGCGAGGCCGAAAGGCGUAGUCGAUGGGAAACAGGUUAAUAUUCCUGUACUUGGUGUUACUGCGAAGGGGGACGGAGAAGGCUAUGUUAGCCGGGCGACGGUUGUCCCGGUUUAAGCAUGUAGGCUGGUUAUCCAGGCAAAUCCGGAUAAUCAAGGCUGAGGUGUGAUGACGAGGCACUACGGUGCUGAAGUAACAAAUGCCCUGCUUCCAGGAAAAGCCUCUAAGCAUCAGGUAACAUCAAAUCGUACCCCAAACCGACACAGGUGGUCAGGUAGAGAAUACCAAGGCGCUUGAGAGAACUCGGGUGAAGGAACUAGGCAAAAUGGUGCCGUAACUUCGGGAGAAGGCACGCUGGUGUGUAGGUGAAGUCCCUGCGGAUGGAGCUGAGACCAGUCGAAGAUACCAGCUGGCUGCAACUGUUUAUUAAAAACACAGCACUGUGCAAACACGAAAGUGGACGUAUACGGUGUGACGCCUGCCCGGUGCCGGAAGGUUAAUUGAUGGGGUUAUCCGUAAGGAGAAGCUCUUGAUCGAAGCCCCGGUAAACGGCGGCCGUAACUAUAACGGUCCUAAGGUAGCGAAAUUCCUUGUCGGGUAAGUUCCGACCUGCACGAAUGGCGUAAUGAUGGCCAGGCUGUCUCCACCCGAGACUCAGUGAAAUUGAACUCGCUGUGAAGAUGCAGUGUACCCGCGGCAAGACGGAAAGACCCCGUGAACCUUUACUAUAGCUUGACACUGAACAUUGAGCCUUGAUGUGUAGGAUAGGUGGGAGGCUUUGAAGCGUGGACGCCAGUCUGCGUGGAGCCAACCUUGAAAUACCACCCUUUAAUGUUUGAUGUUCUAACGUUGGCCCCUGACCGGGGUUGCGGACAGUGUCUGGUGGGUAGUUUGACUGGGGCGGUCUCCUCCCAAAGCGUAACGGAGGAGCACGAAGGUUAGCUAAUCCUGGUCGGACAUCAGGAGGUUAGUGCAAUGGCAUAAGCUAGCUUGACUGCGAGCGUGACGGCGCGAGCAGGUGCGAAAGCAGGUCAUAGUGAUCCGGUGGUUCUGAAUGGAAGGGCCAUCGCUCAACGGAUAAAAGGUACUCCGGGGAUAACAGGCUGAUACCGCCCAAGAGUUCAUAUCGACGGCGGUGUUUGGCACCUCGAUGUCGGCUCAUCACAUCCUGGGCUGAAGUAGGUCCCAAGGGUAUGGCUGUUCGCCAUUUAAAGUGGUACGCGAGCUGGGUUUAGAACGUCGUGAGACAGUUCGGUCCCUAUCUGCCGUGGGCGCUGGAGAAUUGAGGGGGCUGCUCCUAGUACGAGAGGACCGGAGUGGACGCAUCACUGGUGUUCGGGUUGUCAUGCCAAUGGCACUGCCCGGUAGCUAAAUGCGGAAGAGAUAAGUGCUGAAAGCAUCUAAGCACGAAACUUGCCCCGAGAUGAGUUCUCCCUGAGACUUUAAGUCUCCUGAAGGAACGUUGAAGACGACGACGUUGAUAGGCCGGGUGUGUAAGCGCAGCGAUGCGUUGAGCUAACCGGUACUAAUGAACCGUGAGGCUUAACCUUACAACGCCGAAG